rnacentral:rRNA from 1 species
AUUGAACGCUGGCGGCAUGCCUUACACAUGCAAGUCGAACGGUAACGCGGGGCAACCUGGCGACGAGUGGCGAACGGGUGAGUAAUGCAUCGGAACGUGCCCAGUAGUGGGGGAUAGCCCGGCGAAAGCCGGAUUAAUACCGCAUACGACCUACGGGUGAAAGCGGGGGAUCGCAAGACCUCGCGCUAUUGGAGCGGCCGAUGUCAGAUUAGGUUGUUGGUGGGGUAAAGGCCUACCAAGCCUACGAUCCGUAGCUGGUCUGAGAGGAUGACCAGCCACACUGGGACUGAGACACGGCCCAGACUCCUACGGGAGGCAGCAGUGGGGAAUUUUGGACAAUGGGCGCAAGCCUGAUCCAGCCAUGCCGCGUGCGGGAAGAAGGCCUUCGGGUUGUAAACCGCUUUUGUCAGGGAAGAAACGCUCUGGGAUAAUACCCCGGGGUAAUGACGGUACCUGAAGAAUAAGCACCGGCUAACUACGUGCCAGCAGCCGCGGUAACAC